UCUCUCGGAUAAGUAGAGUUGAUUCACAUUUACACUUGCUGUCAGAGUUGGAUAUCUGACAACGAUCAAAUAAGAGAUGGCUGAUGAUUCUAGCGUUCGAGUGGCCGUCAGGAUACGACCUCAAGUAGCUCGUGAGGUUAUCGAUAUGUGCAGAGUCUGUACUCAAGUACCUGCAGGAGAACCACAAGUCUUUCUUGGACCAGACAAAGCAUUCACUUAUGACCAUGUUUUUGAUACGGGCGUUGGACAAAGUACCAUAUACGAGGCUUGCGUUGCCCGUCUAGUUGAUGGUGCUCUAGAUGGUUAUAAUGCAACUGUUCUUGCCUAUGGUCAGACUGGCUCUGGUAAAACAUAUACCAUGGGCACAGGUUUUGAUGUUGAAAUAGAUGAUACUGUCAUCGGAAUUAUACCUAGAGCAAUUACCCAUUUGUAUAAUGGAAUAUUGGAAAAGCAAGAGCGGGCUAGGGAACGGGGACAAAUGCCACCAGAGUUCAAGGUGACAGCACAAUUCCUUGAAUUGUACAACGAAGAGCUCAAAGAUUUGUUGGAACCGGGUGGUCCAAGAGGAGGAGCCCGUAUUCACGAGGAUACAUCUGGUAGUAUUCAUUUGGCUGGUGUAGAGCCUAGAAAUAUAACUUCACCAGAAGAAGCUUUGGAGUGCCUCCGUCUUGGAGCUCUUUCUCGGACCACCGGUUCGACACAAAUGAACACACAGUCCUCGAGGUCACAUGCUAUCUUCACACUUCAUGUAAAACAGCAGCGUUGUGUUAAAGUUGAAGAUCCUGAUGCAGACGUAGACACUAGCGGUACCGAACCAGCUAGUGAAUUUGAAACACUAACUGCAAAGUUUCAUUUUGUGGAUUUGGCAGGUUCAGAAAGGCUGAAAAGAACAGGAGCAACUGGGGACAGAGCUAAAGAAGGAAUCUCUAUAAAUUGUGGUUUGCUGGCUCUAGGUAACGUAAUCUCAGCCCUUGGAGACAAAACAAAAAAAGUUCUACACGUUCCGUAUAGAGAUUCAAAACUGACUAGGCUUCUGCAGGAUUCAUUAGGUGGCAACAGUCAAACUGUCAUGAUUGCUUGUGUAUCACCAAGUGAUCGUGAUUUCAUGGAGACACUGAGUACGUUGAAAUAUGCCAACAGAGCCAGAAACAUCAAGAACAAAGUGACGAUCAAUCAAGACAAAAGCUCGCGAACUAUUACCUCCCUUCGUAGAGAAAUACAACAACUUCAAUUAGAAUUAAUGGAAUAUAGACAGGGCAAAAGAGUGGUCGGUGAAGAUGGCAUGAAUGAUGCAUGGCAUGAAAAUCAGAUGCUAACCAGUGAAUUGACUAGUCUUCGUACUAGAGUGAAGGCACUAUCCGAGACUGUAGAUGCUCUUACUGCCAAAAACGCUCUCCUCUUAGCAGAAAAGGCAACAGGCCAUUGGUUGUCUGCUGGAGAAAGUGGCAGUGAUGAUGUUACCAGUCUAGUUCAAGGCUAUCUACAAGAAAUUGAAGAACUGCGAGCACGUUUAUUAGAAGCUGAGGCGAUGUAUCAGCAGCUCAAAAAAAGAAAGAAUCAGGUCAAUGCAGCAAACCCUUAUGGAGAAUCGUCCUAUGUGUUUCACAGCGAUUCUUCUUCUGUUCUUGUGGAAGCUAAGAAAGAAUUACAAAAAGAAAUCAGUACAUUGGCAUUACUAAAGGGACAACAUGGACCUAAUUCCAACACAAGCCCCAGAAUGGAUGGAGAAGACGGGGAACACGAGGAAAAUGAUAACGUUCAAGAAUCCAUGAGUGAAGAUGAGUCUGAGGAUGAUUCUGAUCGGAAAGAAGAAGAUGAAGAGGAGGAAGCGAUGGGCCGAGAAUUAGAGGCUCUGACAUCCGACAUAGAUGUCAAGCAGCGCUUGAUUCAGGAAUUAGAAUUAUCUCAAAGAAGGUUACAAUCGAUGAAACAACAUUAUGAAGAUAAACUGACUCAGUUACAAGCUCGCAUCAAAAAUACGACAGAGGAGAGAGACAAAGUUUUGUCCUCACUUCAGCAACAUCCUGCACCACCAACUGAAAAAGUGAAAAAAUUACGGGAUGAAUAUGAACGCAAGCUAUCUUCAAUGCAAAAAGAAGUACGCUUGCUUCAAUCAGCGAAAAAAGAGCACGCGAGAUUACUCCGUAGCCAAUCCCAGAGCGAAAAUCGGCUUAGAGGCUUAAGAAAUGAAUUAGCAGAGAUGAAGAGGGCAAAAGUCAAGUUACUCAACAAAAUGAGGGAAGAGGCACAUAGACAUAAAGAGAAUGAGUUGAGACGCAACAGGGAAAUAGCCCAGUUGCGUAAAGAGAGUAGGAAAAAUGCUAAUAUGAUUAGAACUUUAGAAGCAGAUAAAAAAAUGAAGGAAGUAGUCUUACGGCGAAAGCAGGAAGAAGUGACCGCUUUGAGGAAACGUGAUAGAGGAUUGAGUCAAAAGGCUGCUGGUAGAACUGAACCAAAAGAGAAGAGCCCCAAGGCUCUAAAACAAAGAUGGCAAACAUUUGAAAGAACCAUCAUAAAACAGGCUUUGGCAAAACAGGCUGCUGCUGAAACUGAACGAGAAAUGGAGAGACUGUUACAAGAGAGAGAAGAGUUGGGUAGAGAUUUAGAGAGGCUCCAAAAACGAAGGGCUCUUAAUGCUGCGACUAUUGGUGAUACGGGUGAUAUAGAUGAAGAAAUUGAUAACGUCAAAAGCAAAAUAAGCUACCUUCAAGAUAGCAUAGCUGAAUGUCAGCAUGAUAUGGUAGAAAUGGGAGAUGUUGAGGGCGAGGGCGAACCAGGUGCUGAGACGUUGGUUUCUACAAUAAAAUCAGUGGACGAAGCACGUUAUUUAUUAGACAGAAUGCUAGCAUUCACUGUGGAACAAAGUUGUAUGGCUGCACAAAGGCAAUCGGAGGUCCGCGAUAUGAAAACUCGACUAAACCAAGUUGCCCAAGAAAGUGAUGUUCAACAUCAGCUACUUGAACAUGUCUUGAGGGAUAGAGAUCUCUUAUCUCUCACUAAUAACCAUCAGAAUAACCCGUCAGUCUACAGCUCUCCUAGUUCGAGGAGUUCGUCCCCUGAUAAUAAUGAUACCUAUACCCAAGUUAUUUCGGGAAGUGAAGAGAAACAACACAAAACCAACAAAGUAAGACGAAGGACAACACAACCUCAAGAACUGCUGUAUGGUGUAGGGAUGGGUUCAAAUGUGACAAAAGCAGAUGAGGAUCAAAACCAAAACCAGAAUCAUCCACUUACCAGAGUACCCAGUGCUCCUGGGAGCCUCAAAGGAUUGGUAUUGACCAGAAGCCAAUAUGCAGCUGGAGUUGUCGGAGGUUCGCCAACAUUGAACCGUCGUGACAGUACCUCACCGAGGCCUUUGCGACGACCCCUCCACCCCGGAGGUGGCUCCAUGGAACAGGUAGGGCUGACCGAUGUAUCAUCACCACCUGGUUCACCGACUGCGUAUCGACGGUUCAAUAGUCGAGAAGAAAAUGUAUUCUCUAGACUAACGGCCAGUAGGCAGCCAUUGCCUUCUGACCCUCAGCCGACGAAAGGAGUUAUCACCCAGUACCAAGGAAAGGCGCAGCCAAGAGCAGUUUUACAAUGUAGUCAUGUAGCUGAAGGGCACAGUAAAGCUGUUCUAACUAUUUGUGCCACUAAUGAUCGCCUGUUUAGUGGUUCUAAAGAUCGAACUGUCAAGGUUUGGGAUUUGGGAACAGGGCUGGAAAGUAUGACUCUGAGUGGACAUCCAAAUAACGUUGUGGCAGUUAAAUUCUCUGUCGAGUACCGUCUACUCUUCAGUGUUUCGGCAGCAUAUGUAAAAGUAUGGGAUUUAAGAACGGGAAACUCUUGCAUCAAAACUUUAUUUUCAUCGGGUCAAGCUCAAAGUGGCCCUUUGGCUCUUUCGACACCCUCUCGGACUCUCCAACUCCCAGUUGGAGAAACAACUAUUAAUGAUGUCGCGCUUAGUUUGGAUGAGAAAGAAUUAUAUACCGCAACCAGCGACAAAGUUAGAAUAUGGGACUUGCGCAAGUUAACUUACACCGGUAGACUGAGCACGGCACACACCGCUGCUGUAAUGUGCUUGGCUGUUGCCGCCGAUGGAACGGUAAUCACGGGCAGCAAGGAUCACUUAAUCGCUCUAGUUGAACCAAAUGCAUCCGGACAAUCGGUCAGCCUUGCACCACCUCACUAUGAUGGCGUGCAGUGCUUAGCUACGUAUAGCUCAACAUUAUUCUCUGGGUCUCGGGAUAUGUGCAUUAAAAGAUGGGAUCUAAAGAAAAUGGAAUUAGUUCAGUCUUUGAACAAUGCACACAAAGAUUGGGUUCUGGGAUUAUGUACAGUGAAUCACGGCUCGAUUCUAGUUUCCGGAUGUCGUGGCGGUUCAUUGAGAGCAUGGUCAGUACCACGGGAUCAGUCCGCAGAAUGUAGCCUUUUGGGUGAAGUUCGGGCGCACAGCUCUGCUAUCAAUGCAGUCGUUACAAAUCAGCAGCAUGUAUUUACAGCAAGCAACUCCGGAGAAGUGAAGAUGUGGAGAAUACCUGACUCUUCGCUUACUAUGUCUGUUUCCACAGUCUCACUCUAACUUAUUUCACUUAUCUGUGUUAUUCUUUUAUUUCUUCACAGCUCUUUUUUUUCGUGUAAUGACUCAUAAAUAUAAUUUUUUCAUCCUGCUGCAUAAUACAAAAUCAUUCGAGCACGGUAUUAUCGUUCAUCACAUCCUGAUGCCACUGUGAAACUAUGGCACUACUACAAACGAGAUCUACGACAGCGAAGCAACUCAUUGAAGCGCUGAAGCAAAGCCGCUCU
rnacentral:misc_RNA from 1 species